AUUGGUCGGCUGGACGAGGGGAGGAGCCGCUGGCUCCCAGCCCCGCCGCGAUGAGCCUCGGCCGCCUUUGCCGCCUACUGAAGCCGGCGCUGCUCUGUGGGGCUCUGGCCGCGCCUGGCCUGGCCGGGACCAUGUGCGCGUCCCGGGACGACUGGCGCUGUGCGCGCUCCAUGCACGAGUUUUCCGCCAAGGACAUCGACGGGCACAUGGUUAACCUGGACAAGUACCGGGGCUUCGUGUGCAUCGUCACCAACGUGGCCUCCCAGUGAGGCAAGACCGAAGUAAACUACACUCAGCUCGUCGACCUGCACGCCCGAUACGCUGAGUGUGGUUUGCGGAUCCUGGCCUUCCCGUGUAACCAGUUCGGGAAGCAGGAGCCAGGGAGUAACGAAGAGAUCAAAGAGUUCGCCGCGGGCUACAACGUCAAAUUCGAUAUGUUCAGCAAGAUCUGCGUGAACGGGGACGACGCCCACCCGCUGUGGAAGUGGAUGAAGAUCCAACCCAAGGGCAAGGGCAUCCUGGGAAAUGCCAUCAAGUGGAACUUCACCAAGUUCCUCAUCGACAAGAACGGCUGCGUGGUGAAGCGCUACGGACCCAUGGAGGAGCCCCUGGUGAUAGAGAAGGACCUGCCCCACUAUUUCUAGCUCCACAAGUGUGUGGCCCCGCCCGAGCCCCUGCCCACGCCCUUGGAGCCUUCCACCGGCACUCAUGACGGUCUGCCUGAAAACCAGCCCGCUGGUGGGGCAGUCCCGAAAAUCCAGCGUGCACCCCGCCGGAGGAAGGUCCCAUGGCCUGCUGGGCUUGGCUCGGCGCCCCCACCCCUGGCUACCUUGUGGGAAUAAACAGACAAAUUAG
rnacentral:misc_RNA from 1 species